ensembl:lncRNA
AUGAUUAGAAGAGUCAUAUGCCAGCAAAGACACGGCAUUCCAGACUCUUCACUUGGCCCACCACCAUUGAGGCACAUUGGCUAUGAAAGGUGUAUAGGGAGAGGCUGGUCAGCCAUUCCAAGUGAGAAGAAAGGCCCUGCAUUGAAGAACGUGACCAUAAAAGUUUUAUUCUCAUGAAUUUAGCACCUGUAAAACCCUUGUCACUUUUGAUAACACCAUAAAUGUGACAUACAUGUAUCAAACAAAUACUUUUAGUUAAUGGUGCUCAUGCUGAUUCCUACAUUAAUAAUACGCUCGCUUCUUACACAUUCUUUCCCAUGCUUAUGAAUCUUUUUGUUCACUGUCCUUUAUUGCCAAUAAGUGCUCACCAAAGCUUCCACUAUGCACUGAAUGCUAAAUAAUUGCUCCAGCGAUCAAUCAAAGCAAACACAGACAGGAAUAAUCAGCAUCAUCACAACAUCUUCAUGAUGCAUCAAGGAAGAAUUUUAAGCUCUUUCCUCCCCACACGAGGCUAGUUAAGGGUUGGCUGCAACAUCCUAUGCAUCAUGCUAAUGCAAUGUGACAUUUGCUUAAAGCCGAGGCUUUUCCCAUUAAUGAGUUUCAGAGUUCAUGCAGCAAAGUCAUUGUUACUGUGCCGAGGAAGGAAAGAAUUUGUGUGUGGCAGCAGGUAAAAAAAGCAACAAAAAAAGUAAAUUAAAGGCCACAGUAAGGCAAAGCAUGGAUUUGAAUAUUAUUUACUAGAGCUUAUCCAUGCCACAGGAUCUGUUUUGAAAAAGAAAAAAAAGCUCACAUACUCACUAAAAGUUUAUAAUUGUAGAGCUUGUACUAGGGUAGGUGUUGAUUAUGGUGUUUUGCCCUUUGGCUGCUUCUGUUUUCACAUUUCCAGUAUAGUUAUAUAAAGUUUAUGGUUUGCUGCUUAUAACAAAACCAGCAAUUCCACACACAUACACAUAUAUUCCAAGUAAUUGUGUACAUUAGAAUAAUGUUAACUCAGAGCUUCCUUUAGGCAGAAUGAAGUGGCUAGUUGAAACAAUAGGCUUUGGGUAUUCUUAAAGGGAAAUGGUUUCAUUUACAUACCUUUUUCCUGCCAGAACAGCUACUUGUGAUAAUAUCUGCCUCAUGUGCCAAAACAACACACCAACACAUUCUAAGCACCAUGAGUUGGAUAGAUAUUGGGCAUCGUUUUCUAUUCUACAUCAGGAAUAUUUGGACUGAUCCUGUUGAUAACAAACGGACAUACAGUAGAGUCUCACUUAUCCAACACUUGCUUAUCCAACUUUCUGGAUUAUCCAACGCAUUUUUGUAGUCAAUGUUUUCAAUAUAUCAUGAUAUUUUGGUGCGAAAUUCGUAAAUACAGUAAUUACUCCAUAGCAUUACUGUGUAUUGAACUACUUUUUCUGCCAGAUUUGUUGUAUAACAUGAUGUUUUGGUGCUUAAUUUGUAAAAUCAUAACCUAAUUUGAUGUUUAAUAGGCUUCUCCUUAAUCUCUCCUUAUUAUCCAACAUAUUCGCUUAUCCAAUGUUCUGCCGGCCCGUUUAUGUUGGAUAAGUGAGACUCUACUGUACUAAGAAGGUAUAUAUUCGGUAAUAGUGGUAUUAGUCAGUAUGACUGACAAGUGCUUGCUUCUGAUUUCAGGGCUUUCUCCUCUGAUGCUGUUACAUGUACCUUAGCUUUAAAUUAACCCCCUACUACUAUUAUACUGUCUGCAAUCAGAAACACUAUGACUGUCAGUCCUUGGAAGCUAUAGGACACAAUGCAAGCUCACACAGGUAGUUCCGUGGAAACACUUUAUUGAAAUCCUUCUUGCCAAGAUGAGCCCAAAGCUACUACUAAUCAAUUCCCACCCGGACCCUAGCAGCCCCCCUUCCACAUUCACACCUAUCUGUCAGUAGUCCUUUCCCAGGCUUGAAAACCAGAUCAGGCCACAAAUCAAUCUUCUUAGCCAGAUGGCACUUAUCAUUUAGGCUAUUUCCACCCCAAUUGCUUUUGGCAGGAUGGGAACAGUUCAGCUAGUGUGAAUGCUGGGCGAUCACAUCCUGACAAUAAGCCGCCAAGGAUCUCAUCCCAUUGAUGAAAAUAAGUGUUCCAGGGUGCUUAGAGCAUUCUUUAUGCUGUCAUCUGUAGAAUUGUUUGUACUAGUUAGAAAGUAGAUCAGUAGGGUUUUAAAUAAUAAUAAUAAUUUUAUAAUGUGUUUAUGCUAUAGUUUUUCUUUUCUAUCAAUAAAAUUCGUAGCAAAACCAAAAUACAUCUGGCAACGACCAGGAGCUUAAUGGAUAGCUGCAGUGGUAACAAAGGACAGUUCAGAUAAGUAUGACCAUUGGAAGGUGGAGUGAACUGGGUUCAAUCCAAAAUAACAGUCUAGAUUCUGCUCCUCUCACUGCUGUGCUUUGGGAGCAGAGUGUAUCAGCAGCACCUCAGAAUCUGGUCAGAAGAAGCAAUAUUUCAAACUGGCCUUAGAUGAGCACCGAAUAAGCCUAGAACAUGAAUUUAAAGGGUGCAAACCAAACCUACUUUCAUAUUUCUGCCUUACUGUCCAGAAAUAUUUGUAAGAAUGUGCAAGGAAUUAUAGUAUUACACAAAAUAACUACUCACAUGCUUUGCAUGCACUUCUGACAAUUUUUUGUCCACUGGGGCAAUACUCUACCAGGAAAAAUCUAGGAAUUGCUAACAUAACUCACGUAAUGAAAAAGGUUUUAGCUAGUCUGGAAUUUCAGGUACUGAUUGCAAAGCACUACUUUGAAAGGAAGCCUGAACAAAUCUUGAAAAGUAGCAACAACAAAAAGCCAAUAGGCCUGUUGUCCCUCCUAACCUAUGCCAUCCUUCUUUUUUCAUAAUAACAUGUAGUCUAACUAAUGCCAUCAGAAGCUAUAACUCAGUUUUCCUUACAAAGCCUUGCUACAUUUUCAGAGAGCAGCACUGCUGUAUUGACAGCAGAUCCAAAGUCUGACAGAUGAUUCAAAGGAGGAAAAUAUGCAAAAAAAGAAAAAAGAAAAAAAAGCCCCUGAAGACAAAUGCAUGAAAUUUUAAGCAAAGCAUUUCCAAAAUAUUCAAGUCUUCCACACAACUGUUCUUAGGAGCGCCACAUGAUUUUUCUCCCCUAUAUUUGCAUUUUUUUCAUUUGAAAGUAGAGACGGGGAAGCCCACACAAAUCCAUUUCAUUUGCAGCACUUAUAGGUGAAAUACACUAUUCUUGCUCCCCUGAACAUCCUCUCACCCAUGUUCACUCAAGCCACUCAAGUCUCACGGUUUGUUGCUAAACUGCAAGAUUAUGAGUAGAAGAAAUCAAGUUAAUGGGUAAAAGGAAAUCAUAUAAUUUGUGCAAAGCAUAUAAUGUAGCUAAUAUUAGCCUGAUUGCUUAGAAACAGCAUGUUCUAAUGAAUCUUGGGAAAUAUAUAAAUAGAGAUGCAGAUAUAAAUGUUCAAGAAAAGUUUCAGAGUAUGAUGGAAAAGCAUUUAGAAGUAGUUCCAUAAAGAAGAAGAAAAAGAUUUGGAACAAGAAUUAUAUUUUCUCUGAUGUGUAUGCAAUAAUAAUAAUAAUAAUAAUAAUAAUAAUAAUAAUAAUAAUAAUAAUAACUUUAUUCUUAUACCCCGCCCCAUCUCCCCGAAGGGACUCGGGACGGCUUACAUGGGGCCUUGCCCAGACACAACAAUAUAAAAGCAAAAGCAAAUUACUCAACAAUAAAACAUCAACAUCGAUAAAAACAAUCAUCAAAGGUCAACAUACAAAAUAAAGUGUUAAAAACAUGAGUUGAAUUCACGGAUCUGGGCCAAAGUGCAAAAUAUGCCAAUGCAGAGCUGAAAUCCAUUCAUCCUCAAUCUGUUGUUAUUGUUGUUGCUGCUUGCUGUAGGAAAUGCUGCAAGGUAACUCUUCUUCAGUUUUACAGGCCA